ACGAACGCUGGCGGCGCGCUUAACACAUGCAAGUCGAACGAGAAGGCGGAGCAAUCGCUGGUACAGUGGGCGAAGCGGUGAGGAAUAAUGGGUACCUACCCUCGAGUGGGGGAUAACCCGCCGAAAGGCGGGCUAAUACCGCGUACGCUUCCGGUCUUGCGGGAUCGGAAGGAAAGCUGUCCCGAGGGGGAUGGCCGCUCAAGGAUGGGCUCAUGUCCUAUCAGCUGGUUGGUAGGGGGUAACGGCCUACCACGGCAUCGACGGGUCGCUGGUCUGAGAGGGACGAUCAGCCACACUGGCACUGCGACACGGGCCAGACUCCUACGGGAGGCAGCAGUGAGGAAUAUUGCGCAAUGGGCGACAGCCUGACGCAGCGACGCCGCGUGGGGGAUGAAGGUCUUCGGAUUGUAAACCCCUUUCGGGUGGAAGACGGCCGUCGACAACGACGGCGGACGGUACCACCAGAAGCAGCCACGGCUAACUUCGUGCCAGCAGCCGCGGUAAUACGAGGUGGCAAGCGUUGUUCGGAUUUACCUGGGCGUAAAGGGAGCGUAGGUGGUGCGGUAAGCCCAUCCGGGAAAGCUUCAGGCUUAACCUGAAAAGGUCGGGGGGGACUGCCGCGCUAGGAGGACGGGAGAGGAGCGCGGAAUUCCCGGUGUAGCGGUGAAAUGCGUAGAGAUCGGGAGGAAGGCCGGGGCGAAGGCGGCGCUCUGGAACGUUUCUGACACUGAGGCUCGAAGCGUGGGGAGCAAACAGGAUUAGAUACCCUGGUAGUCCACGCCCUAAACGAUGGACACUACGUUGCCGGGCGGGUUUACCGUCGGGCCGCAGCUAAGCGCAGUAUGUCCCAGCCUGGGGAGUACGGCCGCAAGGUUGAAACUCAAGGAAUUGACGGGGGCCCGCACAAGCGUGAGCAUGUGGUUUAAUUCGACGCAACGCGAGAACCUUACCUACCCUUGACAUCCAAAAGAAUUCUGCAGAGAUGUGGAAGUGCCGAAAGGAACUUUGAGACCAGGUGCUGCAUGGCUGUCCGUCAGCUCGUGUUGUGGAGAUGUUGGGUUAAGUCCCGUAACGAGCGCAACCCUUAUCCUUAGUUGCCAACAGGUUAAUGGUGGGGACUCUAAGGGACUGCUGGUGAUGAACCGGAGGAAGGCGGGGACGACGUCAAGUCAUCAUUGGCCGUUAUGGGUAGGGGCUACACACGUGCUACAAUGGGGCGUACAGAGGGUUGCGAACCUGCGAAGGGGAGCCAAUCUCGUAAAACGCCUCGUAGUCCGGAUCGGAGUCUGCAACUCGACCUCCGUGAAGUCGGAAUCGCUAGUAAUCGCGAAUCAGAAACGUCGCGGUGAAUACGUUCCUCCGGGCCUUGUACCAACCGCCCGUCACACCAUGGGAGUGGGGUUGUACCAGAAGUAAGGUAGUUUAACCGUAAGGGGAACGCUUACCACGGUAUGAUUCAUGGACUGGGGUG
rnacentral:rRNA from 1 species